UGGGGAAUAUUGCGCAAUGGCCGAAAGGCUGACGCAGCGACGCCGCGUGGAGGAUGAAGUCCGUUAGGAUGUAAACUCCUUUUGCAGGGGAUGAAUAUGGCGCUACAGGCGCCAUUGACCGUACCCUGCGAAUAAGGGUCGGCCAGCUACGUG
rnacentral:rRNA from 1 species